rnacentral:lncRNA from 1 species
GAACAAAUUUGUUCCUCAAAAAUAUCAUACUUUUAUGAUUUGAUAUUUUUAUGAUAAGUAGGUUUACAAUACCUGCUUUCAUAUUUUUAUUUUUAUUUAAACAAAGACAUUAUAACUCGUAUAUCUCAAAAUAACAGAAGAAAAAGGGGGGAAAAAAACGACGAACCCAUGAGCAGCUUUAGGGUCAUCUAACUAUUAGCCUUGUCAACGACAACUGUUAUUCAGGUUCAGUGGCAGAUCCAAUUAGCGGCGAGCCAGGUCAGCCGCCCUAGCUGGAUUCGUCAGAAUGUUCAGACCACCGGGAAUGGAGUUGUAGACGCAGCAUGGCCGGAGAUGGAGGAAAAUAGGACCCCGUCACCUGGGCCUUUUUUAUUUUUUAUUGGGAUGAUUUUCUUCACAAUGGGUCUCUUUUUGCUUAAAAAUCGUAAGCCCAAAUCAAUUACCCAAUGAAUUGUCUUGGUCCAUAAAUCAUAAUCCAUAUAAUUUCAUUUUCCUCCAAAUCGUGAAAUUGUGAAAGCUGAAAGAGAGAAAGGCGAUUGGCAGCAAUACAGAAUCCACUACUUCCAGUUUCAGAUUUCGCUGCCGUCAAAGCUGGCAAGAAAAGCCCCACCAUGACAAAGAAAGGUGGCUUUGCUGUGAUUUCUUACAGGGCUUGUGCUAGUUAGUUACGACUUUCUUUUCUUCCCCAGGAUUACCAGUUUAUGACAUGUCAUCUGUGUUCUUUUCCAUCUUAAAUCUUUGUUUUCCAUCUUAAAUUUGGGUUUUCGUUUUAAUUUAUGUGAUAUGUGGGUAUGUUAAGAGUUCAUGUGUUAUUUGAAGUAAUAUUUAUGGGUAAUUGACACAAAACAUCCUUAUCUUUUAUGUUGAUUGUGGA